rnacentral:rRNA from 1 species
CCUACGGGAGGCAGCAGUGGGGAAUAUUGCACAAUGGGCGCAAGCCUGAUGCAGCGACGCCGCGUGAGGGAUGACGGCCUUCGGGUUGUAAACCUCUUUCAGUAGGGAAGGAGCGAAAGUGACGGUACCUGCAGAAGAAGCGCCGGCUAACUACGUGCCAGCAGCCGCGGUAAUACGUAGGGCGCAAGCGUUAUCCGGAAUUAUUGGGCGUAAAGAGCUCGUAGGCGGUUUGUCGCGUCUGCCGUGAAAGUCCGGGGCUCAACUCCGGAUCUGCGGUGGGUACGGGCAGACUAGAGUGAUGUAGGGGAGACUGGAAUUCCUGGUGUAGCGGUGAAAUGCGCAGAUAUCAGGAGGAACACCGAUGGCGAAGGCAGGUCUCUGGGCAUUAACUGACGCUGAGGAGCGAAAGCAUGGGGAGCGAACAGGAUUAGAUACCCUGGUAGUCCAUGCCGUAAACGUUGGGCACUAGGUGUGGGGGACAUUCCACGUUUUCCGCGCCGUAGCUAACGCAUUAAGUGCCCCGCCUGGGGAGUACGGCCGCAAGGCUAAAACGUCAAAUGAAUUGACGG